rnacentral:rRNA from 1 species
AACGAACGCUGGCGGCAGGCUUAACACAUGCAAGUCGAGCGCCCCGCAAGGGGAGCGGCAGACGGGUAAGUAACGCGUGGGAAUCUACCCAUCUCUACGGAAUAACGCAUGGAAACGUGUGCUAAUACCGUAUACGUCCUUCGGGAGAAAGAUUUAUCGGAGAUGGAUGAGCCCGCGUUGGAUUAGCUAGUUGGUGGGGUAAAGGCCUACCAAGGCGACGAUCCAUAGCUGGUCUGAGAGGAUGAUCAGCCAAACUGGGACUGAGACACGGCCCAGACUCCUACGGGAGGCAGCAGUGGGGAAUAUUGGACAAUGGGCGCAAGCCUGAUCCAGCCAUGCCGCGUGAGUGAUGAAGGCCCUAGGGUUGUAAAGCUCUUUCACCGGUGAAGAUAAUGACGGUAACCGGAGAAGAAGCCCCGGCUAACUUCGUGCCAGCAGCAGCCGCGGUAA